AGCUAAGGCAACAAAUUCUUAACAAUUUAACAAAGUCAUAACUUUUGCAACAAAAUUGAUAAAUACUGCCACCUCUACAAAAGCAAUGAAGAGAAAGAAUGAUAAAAAAGGAAGUGCUCAGAAGUCCGAUCAUUAAAAGAAACCCACAGAUCAAAUGCCAUAUGAAUUGUCAUUUGUCUCCUUUCAGUAACUUUUGAUCACAGAGAUUGUCCACCUAGAUUAUAUUUUAUUGAUUAACUAGGAAGGUAGUAUAUCUAGAAGGUAAAUUGUAA
rnacentral:misc_RNA from 1 species